CUCUACAGCCACAACCCCCUGGGCACACCUGACCCUGUGUGUGCUGUCAGAGGUUAAGCAGGGCUGCACCUGGUUAGGAUACUUGGAUGGGAGACUGCCUGGGAAUCCCAGGUGCUAUAGGCU
rfam:Alligator sinensis unplaced genomic scaffold scaffold444_1, whole genome shotgun sequence